CUGAAGUUGUUUAUCUGCUCAGUGUGGAGUUAAAUCUUCAUUAAGACAUCAUGAAAACUUCAUCUGUCUCUCUGCUACUCGGUGUGUGUGUGCUGCUGCUGUCUGCACUGACUGUUUCUGCAGUCUCUCUGUAUGUCAGCCCAAACCAUCAGCAGUUCUUCAAAGGAGACCGUUAUGUCUCCCUGAGUUGUGUC